AUACGAAGGGUGCAAGCGUUAAUCGGAAUUACUGGGCGUAAAGCGCGCGUAGGUGGUUCGUUAAGUUGGAUGUGAAAGCCCCGGGCUCAACCUGGGAACUGCAUCCAAAACUGGCGAGCUAGAGUAUAGCAGAGGGUGGUGGAAUUUCCUGUGUAGCGGUGAAAUGCGUAGAUAUAGGAAGGAACACCAGUGGCGAAGGCGCCCACCGGGGCUAAUACUGACACUGAGGUGCGAAAGCGUGGGGGGCAAACAGGAUUAGAUACCCUGGUAGUCCACGCCGUAAACGAUGUCGACUAGCCGUUGGGAUCCUUGAGAUCUUAGUGGCGCAGCUAACGCAUUAAGUCGACCGCCUGGGGAGUACGGCCGCAAGGUUAAAACUCAAAUGAAUUGACGGGG
rnacentral:rRNA from 1 species